rnacentral:rRNA from 1 species
GAUGAACGCUGGCGGCGUGCCUAAUACAUGCAAGUCGAGCGAAUGGAUUAAGAGCUUGCUCUUAUGAAGUUAGCGGCGGACGGGUGAGUAACACGUAGGUAACCUGCCCAUAAGACUGGGAUAACUCCGGGAAACCGGGGCUAAUACGGGAUAACAUUUUGAACCGCAGGGUUCGAAAUUGAAAGGCGGCUUCGGCUGUCACUUAUGGAUGGACCCGCGUCGCAUUAGCUAGUUGGUGAGGUAACGGCUCACAAAGGCAACGAUGCGUAGCCGACCUGAGAGGGUGAUCGGCCACACUGGGACUGAGACACGGCCCAGACUCCUACGGGAGGCAGCAGUAGGGAAUCUUCCGCAAUGGACGAAAGUCUGACGGAGCAACGCCGCGUGAGUGAUGAAGGCUUUCGGGUCGUAAAACUCUGUUGUUAGGGAAGAACAAGUGCUAGUUGAAUAAGCUGGCACCUUGACGGUACCUAACCAGAAAGCCACGGCUAACUACGUGCCAGCCGCCGCAGUAA